CCUACGGGAGGCAGCAGUGGGGAAUAUUGGACAAUGGGGGCAACCCUGAUCCAGCCAUGCCGCGUGUGUGAAGAAGGCCCUCGGGUUGUAAAGCACUUUCAGUGAGGAAGAACGCCUGGUGGUUAAUACCCAUCAGGAAAGACAUCACUCACAGAAGAAGCACCGGCUAACUCCGUGCCAGCAGCCGCGGUAAUACGGAGGGUGCGAGCGUUAAUCGGAAUUACUGGGUGUAAAGCGCGCGUAGGUGGCUUGAUAAGCCGGUUGUGAAAGCCCCGGGCUCAACCUGGGAACGGCAUCCGGAACUGUCAAGCUAGAGUGCAGGAGAGGAAGGUAGAAUUCCCGGUGUAGCGGUGAAAUGCGUAGAGAUCGGGAGGAAUACCAGUGGCGAAGGCGGCCUUCUGGACUGACACUGACACUGAGGUGCGAAAGCGUGGGUAGCAAACAGGAUUAGAUACCCGUGUAGUC
rnacentral:rRNA from 1 species